rnacentral:rRNA from 1 species
GAUGAACGCUGGCGGCGUGCUUAACACACGCAAGUCGAACGAUGAAGCCCAGCUUGCUGGGUGGAUUAGUGGCGAACGGGUGAGUAACACGUGAGUAACCUGCCCUUAACUCUGGGAUAAGCCUGGGAAACUGGGUCUAAUACCGGAUAGGAGCGUCCACCGCAUGGUGGGUGUUGGAAAGAUUUAUCGGUUUUGGAUGGACUCGCGGCCUAUCAGCUUGUUGGUGAGGUAAUGGCUCACCAAGGCGACGACGGGUAGCCGGCCUGAGAGGGUGACCGGCCACACUGGGACUGAGACACGGCCCAGACUCCUACGGGAGGCAGCAGUGGGGAAUAUUGCACAAUGGGCGCAAGCCUGAUGCAGCGACGCCGCGUGAGGGAUGACGGCCUUCGGGUUGUAAACCUCUUUCAGUAGGGAAGAAGCGAAAGUGACGGUACCUGCAGAAGAAGCACCGGCUAACUACGUG